AACGCACAUUGCGCCCAUUAGUAUUCUAGUGGGCAUGCCUGUUCGAGCGUCAUUAAGUCCACUUAAGCCUAGCUUAGUGUUGGGAGACUGCUCCAGUGGUGCUACCCUGUAGCUACCCUGCAGCUCCUUAAAGACAGCGGCGGAGUCGUGUUAUCCUCUGAGCUUAGUAAAUCAUUCUAGCUUUCGAGUACAACACUUCACCUGCCGUUAAACCACCAAAUUUUUUAUGGUUGACCUCGGAUCAGGUAGGAAUACCCGCUGAACUUAA
rnacentral:misc_RNA from 1 species